rnacentral:rRNA from 3 species
CAGUGAUAAACUGGAGGAAGGUGGGGAUGACGUCAAGUCAUCAUGGCCCUUACGACCAGGGCUACACACGUGCUACAAUGGCGCAUACAAAGAGAAGCGACCUCGCGAGAGCAAGCGGACCUCAUAAAGUGCGUCGUAGUCCGGAUUGGAGUCUGCAACUCGACUCCAUGAAGUCGGAAUCGCUAGUAAUCGUGGAUCAGAAUGCCACGGUGAAUACGUUCCCGGGCCUUGUACACACCGCCCGUCACACCAUGGGAGUGGGUUGCAAAAGAAGUAGGUAGCUUAACCUUCGGGAGGGCGCUUACCACUUUGUGAUUCAUG